ACUCCUCGUUGUUCCUGUCCUCUGGCUUCCUUUGACCUCGGCAUUCCCUUGACGAUCCUGCUGUUUGAGUCCUUGCCUGUCCUGCGACUUGGUACUUCAUCCUGCACAGACCCACAGGCCGGGUGAAUUCUUACCUGACCACCUUGGCCUGUGGCUAUCUGCAAGGGUGAGCAACAUAUCUGCGCUACAGACUCCCAACCCAGGUAAGACCCUGACACACACACACACACACACAUUUCAUCCCUCACACUCACAGCAUCCAUUACACACACUGCACCCCUCUCACACACACACACACACACACUUUACCCCUCACACACACUGCACUCCUCACAUACACACUACACUCCUCAUACACACCUAUUGCACCCUUCACACACACACAGAGAAACCCCCAACACACUGCACCACACACACAAAAUGACAAAACACACACUCUCUGCUCCGCCGCCUUCUUAGUGGGCUGCUGUGAUUAAAAAAUGUCCAUGCUGAAUUUCUUUCCCAGUCCGGCCCUGGAGUUCCAUAUUGUUGGUUUGUGAGAGUGUAUAAAAGAGCUCAACGGCAAUUAUGCAAUUCGUUUUGGUCCACAUGUAAAUUCGAACGAAUUUCGGGCAAUCAUCCGAAUGUCCGAAGUCCCGAAUUUUGAAAGUGCCAAAGUGCUUCGGAUUUCUGAAAAUUGGCAAAAAAAAAGAGAGGGGAGGAAAAUUAUAUGAAUGAUAACAGGGUUGGGUUAGGGGGAGGGUUAGGUGAGGGUAGGGUUAGGGUAGGGUUGACUUAGGGUUAGGGUUAAGGUAGGGUUAGGGUGAGGGGUAAGGUAGGGUUAGGGCAGGGUUAGGGUAGGGAUAGGUUAGAGUAGGGUUAUAGUUAAUGUAGGGUUAGUUUAGGGGUAGAGUUACAUUAGGGUUAGGGUAGGGUUAGGGUUAAGGUAGGGUUAGGGUGAGGGGUAAGGUAGGGUUAGAGUUAGGGUAGGUUUAGGUUAGAGUAGAGUUAUGGUUAAUGUAGGGUUAGGUUAGGGUUAGGGUUAAGAAGCCCUACAGAUUUUUCGAAUUGCCGAAGUCCCCAAUUGCCAAAAUCCCGAAUCGAAGUCCCAAAUUGCCGAAGUCCCGAAUAUUUUUAUUUUUUUUACCCAGAUUUCCGAAACAAAUUUUUGGAUUAUGCACAUCCCUAGCUCACAGUAAUGUGUCUUUAAACCUCAAGAAACAUGUUUUUAAAAUUGUUCUGUGUGCAUUAGAUACAAUGUAAUUAUAUUUUGUUGUAUAAAUUGUUAUUAGAAUGUCACCUAAUAUUUCUAAAAACAGCCCCACCUCUGCCAUUGCCCACUAAGGGAUCCAACUCCCCUCCCCACCCCCCCAAACCCCCCAAUAAAAAAAAUGUUUAUGACAAAUGUUCCACUUUCAGUAUCAAAUUACAGAUGGGACAUCAGACAAUUAAAUACAAACCAGUGGUAUUGGGGUAGCGAAUUCUUAGCAGGUUCCAAAAUCUGUUGACUUCAAAUGGGACUUGUUACAACUCUCUGGCUGCCAAUCAGACAACAGGUCCUGUUAUAACCUGGUUGUUUAGCUCACUGGAGUUAAGCUCAAGAGGGAGGUAAUUGCUCAGAGCACCUGCCUUGCAAAGACUUCUCCGUAAGCUGCAUUGGGUUGGACAACCAUAGAAAGUCUGGGCUGGGUUUGAAAGUGAGAACUGUUUUUAGAUAUAGUGCCAAUGACAAAAUGCAUAAUUCAAUGCAUGCAUGUUUUUUUAUGUGGGAUAUAAUUAAUAAACAGUUAUUUGUUUUUAUUUGGGAGUGGAGUGUCCCUUUAAGCAAUAGUUAUGCAUCAAAACAAAGGACCACAUAUGAGAUCGAUUUAAUAACUAUUCAGCCAAUGGCAUAUUAUUAUAUAUUGGUAUAAUUCACUAUUAAUAGGCUAUCUUUUGAGGACACACCUAUGCAAUACAUUGCUAACUGACAUAGAAAAUAUCUAGUUCAUAACAUGCUAAUUUGAGAAAUCCCAAAACUACAGAACAUCAAUGGGUACCUUGCAUAAGUUGUUUAGCCUUCAGCUAUGUAGCAUUACCCCAAUGACCCUGCAUUCAGCUUCACACCACUAAUUGCAAGUGAAUCAUUUAGCACUGAAAGAGAGCUAUUUAUAUAGCAGAUGUAUACCACCUACAUAUACUAAAUGUAUUGAAUUGUGCCAAAUAACUUACAUACUUUGUUGGUUUAGUUGUAUCCAUAGAUGCAAUGUUAAUAAUGCAAAGUAUUAUUUCUUAAAGUGAAAAAGAUGUGUAAAAUACAAGUCUCUUAAAUCUACGAGAACUCUGUGUACCAACCUAUAGGUAAAGGAUUCCUUAUCAUGAAGUGGGGGGUUGACGGCUGAAACAAUGUGCUUCAUGGACUCAAAUUUUCACUUCUAUUUUUUUUUUAAAAGAAAGUUUAUUUCAUGUAUUAAAAACUUAUUGAUGACUUUUUAAAAGAUGUUUAUUAUUCACAUUUUUAGGACAGUCCUGCCAUGCUAAUUCUCACCAGUGACCGUAAGGAAAUUAACUGACAAAGUAGAAAUUUGGCUACAAAGGGACAUUAAAAAGGAAUUGUCACUUUUUUAAAAUUUAUUCCAUUGGAUAAAAAAAUGAAAAUCACCUAUCACUUGUCUUUUUUUUUUAUGAGAUGCUCCAUUUUGCUUUAAAUGUAUAUUAAAUAGUUAGCAAAUUACCUCACAAUCCAGUUGAGACAAGGCACGGGCAGGGCACACACUGCAAAUGAAAAAGAGGAAUAGAAGCACUUUUAAAGUCUCCUCUUCUUUCUAUGCCUUUUGCAUGCUGACUGCCAGUUGCAAAGCACAAUGCUUAUAACAGUACCGGACAGGGAGCCACAAUGGAGGACAAAGAGGUGUACUUUUCCAUAUUUAAUUUUAUUACUCACACAUAUUAAAUAUAUAUAGAGAGAUGGGUAUAGAUAGUAUUAAAAACCCUCUAUUCUAUGAACAUGCAUUAGGUCUUGGUAUUCGAUCCCCAACUUAUACCUAUAAUUAGUCUUUGGCAACACUUACUCAUUCGAUUGUAGAUUUUAUCACUUAUUUAAUCAACCAUUUAAAAAAGAAUUCACUGAGAAUCCACAAAAAUGUAAUUGCCUUUCAGUUAACCCCUACUUUAGUCACAAACAUAUUUUAGCUCAUAUACACCAUUACAGAGGAGACCUGUACUAUUUCAUAUCAGUCUCUAGCACUACAGAGAGGGCAGUGGAGAACCAUAAUGCAAGCUAUCACAAGUCAGGUCUUGGCCUAGUCAGUGAGGUAUAGCUGACGCCUCUCUAGGGAACAGUGAGAACAAGGUCCACAGAUGGACUAUCCUUCAUACACAUAAUAUGAAAAGAAGCCAAAUCAGAUUUUAUAAGAUCUCUGGGAAUGGAUAAAAUAUGAAUGGCUUGCUCUCCAACUUGAACAGGAUUAACCAUAAGGCGAACUUAUGUGAUGCAAAGGGGCUUGACAGGGGCACUGGAACCUUGAAUUUGCUAAUAUUAAUGUUAUUAAUCAGCCCUAUGUGAAGAAUGAAUAUGGGCCCCAAACCUGUACCUUUCCAAGCCCCCCAUGGGAUCGUAAUCAUUCUCUGUGUUCAACAAGCUGCGGCUCUGGUCUCAAACAAGAUUUACCUGUGGUAUGUCUUUAAAGACAGAACCUAUGCAUUUCAUAUCAGACCCAGCACAAAUGGUAGACCUGAACCAUAAAUGGCAGCAUGUCUCUUCUGUGUGAGAGACUUUGUUACCUACUUAGACUUUUUGCAACCCUUAUAACAGGGAAAGUAGAUCUUACUUUGCACAGAACUGAAAGUAUCCAAAGUCAACGAUAAUUUAUUGUCAGCAACAGUAUAGGUUCCAAUCGCGUCAAUUUUUGCAUUUUUUUGGGGAGGGCGUUUUAGAACAUACUAUUUAUUUACAAAGUAGUUUUUUUCAGGGCCAUGAUGGGAACUAUGUUUACCCUCAUGCUCAACUAGCAACAAUAAUAGUACUAAGGGUGAUAAUGACUUAGCUUAGGAGGUAGCAUGUGACGUGUUUAUUAAUAAACUGAAAUACAAUUGCAAUUCAUGCCUCGGCAAAAUAUAAAUUUAGUUUUAAAAUAACAAAAAUGGUUCUAGGUGUUGCACAUACAUUCCACCACAAGAUGGCGGCACUGUAAUAUAAAAACCAAUAAAGAGGAAAGUUUGCUACUGAAUUGAAUAUUACUCUUUUGGUAUUUUAAAUAAUAUAACUAACUAAAUUGUAAAAAUGUUAGGCAGAGUUCCAACUUUCAUAGCCAAAAUAAGAUUUAUGACUCAUUUUUUUAAUUUAAAAAUUGCCUCAAUGAUGACCUUUUUUUUUUUUUUUUUUUUUAAGCUAAUUUGUAAAACGUAACAUUAAAGGACCACUAUAGGCACCCAGACCACUUCAGCUUAAUGAAGUGGUCUGGGUGCCAGGUCCAUCUAGAGAGGUAAGCAGCAGCGAGGGAGACUCAGGGCUGGGAAACAGGAGGAGGGGCCUGGAUAUACCUAGGGACAGGGACACUAAAGAGUUAGUAAUUCAGGUUAGUAUUCGUAGCGCUUUAGUAUUCCUUUAAUCAGAAAAUCACACGCAGAAUAUUCCUUUCCCUUACAAAUACAUUAUUGUUAGAAGAAAGGACGUCAGCCCCAGGACAGCUCUUAAAAAUGAUGAGAGAGCAAUUUAGCGGAUGAUUGGAGACCAGUGAGGCGAGAGACUCCUGGCCUUAAACCAGAUUACCGUGUGAGAUUUAAGAAAUAACAUCCUAAGAGAUUAGAAAAUAAGACAGAGGGAAAACAUGUCAUUCACAAGGGUCGUGUAGUUAAAUCCACCUUUUCUUCCAGAACUGACAAAGACAAAUCACAGCAGAAAAACAGUUUGAAAAACUCGUUAAUGUUAGUGAGGCUCUGAGAGACCUCCUUCAUGGCGGAUUGCAAGCUCCCUCUUGGAUGCAAAGAGGUUUGAUGAUAUCUCUGUUACAGCCAAGCUAUUUAAAGAGACACUAUAGUCACCAGAACAACUAUAGCUUAAUGUGGUUGUUCUAGUGAGUAUAAUCAUUAUAUGUAAGCAUUUUCAUGCAAACACUGCCUUUUCAGAGGAAACAACCCUAGGGACUUCAAGUGGCCACUUGAGGUGCUUCCUGGCUCAGUGCUGCACAGUAGGCAGCUCUGCCGUUCAGCGUCUCCACGCUCUGCAUGGGGACGCUGAAUUUUCCUCAUAGAGAUACAUUGAUUCAAUGCAUCUCUAUGAGGAGGUGCUGAUUGGCCAUAACGUCGUUUGGCCCUGCCCCCUUGCCGAUUUUAGCCAAUCCAAUGCUUUCCUUAUAGGAAAGCAUUGGAUUGGUUAAAAAUCGGCCGUUUUGAUGAUGUCACCAAGGGGGCAAGUUUUUCAUGGUUUUUAAGGGGGGCAAGGGAGGGGGCAAGACACCUUAAUGUAGGGUCAGGAAUACAUGUUUGUGUAUAAUAUAUUAUAAAAUAAUUAAAGCAUUUUAUAAUAUAUUAUACAUAUAUAAGGCAUAUAUAUGAGUUCAUUAUAAGUGUACACAUAUAUCUCAAAAUAGACUUGUAAUAAAAUAAUAUAUAUGCAUUAUAUAUGUAUAAUAUAUUAUAAAAUGCUUUAAUUAUAAUAUAUUAUACAUAUACAGGAAAUAAAAGUGUGUGUGUGUGUGUGUGUGUUUAUUUUAUAUAUAUAUAUAUACACACACACACACGAAUUAUAUGCACACACACAUAUUUUAUAUAUAUAUAUAUAUAUAUUAUAUAAAUUGAAAAAAUUAUUAUUAUAAAAAAAUUAAUAAAAACGCUAAAAGUGGCUACUACAAAAGACUGGACAUACCCCAUUUUGAAUACCAUGGUUUGUCUACUUUUACAAAUGGUAUGCCAUGAUGUGGUUAAUUUUCAUUCCUGGGCUACUAUACGGUCUCAAAGGCAACAUAGGCCCAGCAAACCAAUCUGGAAAAUUUCAAUGUGCAAACAUGGAAAAGGGGAAAGCCCUAUAUUUGACCCCUGUACAACUGCAAAAACCCAUAUAACCUGUACAUUGGGGGUACUGUUGUACUCGGGAGAUGUUGCUGAACACAUAUUGGGGUGUUCUUUGUCAGUAACACAUAACAGGAACUGAGAAUCCAUGCUUAAAAUACAUUGUGAGAGAAUAAUAACACAAAAAAAUGAUUACCCAAAAGUUUGACAAAGACUGGUGGUAGAAUAAGUGCAUGGCAAGUGUUAAAAUGAGUAAGAGGAAGAUUACAGCUAAACACAAACACCGCAAAAAUGUAAAAACAGCCCUGGUCCUUAACGGUAAGAAAAUUGAAAAACGGUCUGGUCACUAAGGGGUUAAAGGAAACUUAAAGGAACAAACACACUCACUGCAAUAGCCAUAUGGCACAUAAUAGGUUAAUAUGUCAGCUAUUACCAGCAUCAAUGCACUUGGUUGUUUUUCGUUGUUUUGUCCUUAGCUUUGAGAUAUAGCCUUUCAAGUUCUACAUUGUAAGAUUAUCAGUUAAAUCACUAGAGAGAUUUUGGCCAAAACUAGAGACUGUUCCUCCUAAAAAGGGACACUUGGGAGGUAUGCUCUGCUUAUAUCUGCAGAUUGGGAUCCACCUUGUCCUCUCAAACUCAAUUUGACAAAAUGUUAGUCUUGUAAAGUAGAAAAAAAAAUAAAAAAAUAAAAACCUUAUAUAGGGGGGGAAAAAAAGUACCUAAAAUGUACUAUUGUCUAGAAAUCAUCUACCCCAAAUUCAGUUUUAAUGUGACACUCUUGGGUCUUUAAUAAGGUGAUUUUAAAGGCAAGUAAAGGAAUCUGAUCACUGCUAGAUGUACAGAUACACACCAGCACCUAUCAAAGAAAAACAGAUUAUCAUUUAUGACUAAUCAUUUCAACAUGGCUGACAUAUUUAGCAGCCAUGAUAUGUCAACGCAUUAUUAAAGGAGGCAUUUUUCUCACUUUCAAUCUACAGAUUUUCUCCUAAGAAAUGAGGUGCUGAUUUAAUUUUGACAGACGACUUGAGCUCUUUAUUGUACUUUUUUAUUUUAUUUUUUUUAAAGCUUUUUGAAACAUUUGGGAAACAGUUCUGUAUUACGUUAAGAAAUAAAUAAAUAAAACGAAGAAAGGAUUGAAAGAAAAAAAGAAUCUCUUAACAAGGCACUUUAAUCGUUUCCUCGUGUAAUAGUCAUGUGGUGCCCAUCAAAUCCAUUUCAAAAUAUUGUUUGGUUUCCGAAUGUCUGAUGUGGGGUCAGGGAACAUGAAUUACAACAAAAGAAACCACAACGUGAGUAAAUUUAGCCAACACUAUAAUUUAACCACUUCUUAAAUCAACAACAAUAGAUGUCCCACGUUUUUCUGUAUCUGUGAAGACAUUUGAUAAAAGUGCACCCUAUGUGGCAAAAUGAGCUUACUGUGUUAAUAAAAUCACCAAACAUGUGACUAUGCUUUUUAAGAGCAUUACAAAAACAAAUAAAGCUUUAUUAACUGAAUAGUGAAUUCUAGAAUAUUGUAAAAAUGUAUUGCAAAAUGUAGGCCGCAAUAGCCAGGAGAAUAUUUACAAAUCAGCAACAGUAUUUUAACUUAACUAGUUUUAAAACUUUUAUAAAUUUGGUGUCUGGUGAAUCACUCACAUAGUUUUAAUCAAUCCACUUCAUUGUUUUCAUUAGGUAUCACAAACCACAAUCUUUUUUUUUUUUUUGUAUCCCGCAUUUUUCUGGCUAAUUUUGGAUCUCGCACCCAAAAUAAAUUAACUAAAAUAAUGCAGCAGUUAUAUAAGGCUGCUACUGAUCCAGUUUUUUUGUUUUCAAAUAAAUAUUUAUCACCUUGUGCGUGUGAAAUAGUUAAACGGGAUUUAUUUGCCCUUGCACCAUCACUAGUAUCUAGUAUAUGAAGUACCAGUUGUGGUCUGGAAUGGUUAUUUUGGUUAGUGUCUGCGAGUAAUAAAGAAAAAUGGGAAACUCAUCAAAGAAAACAAAAACAUUAUAAAUAAAACAUCUACAGAGAUUUCAAACAAGCAAUGAGAACACUUUGAAUUACAGAUAAUUAAUGUUAAUAAGAAAUACCUUUUCUAGGUGUUUUGGCCUGAACUACACAAGGAUGUAGGGUGUGAAUAUGUAAAUCUUAAUCAAAGUCUAAGAAGAUGAGAUUUUGUAACUUUUUUGAAAGUUACCCCAUUGAUAAGACAGUUUAGAAAAUCACCUAUAAGUUGUGUUAAAGUUCAUUCUUAUCUGAUAUUCUGUUUUAUUUACAUAUUUCUGUAUAAUGAAGCUUUUAUGAAUUAACGUCACAAUCCUGGCAUAGCCAGGGUACACAUCUAUUUCCUAAAAAAAAGUGCACAGACAUUCGUUACCCAGUCUUUGGUUGGAAAUGUGGUGCAACAGACCAUAAAACACGUAAAUGUUUAUUUUUGCUAAUCAUACAUUUUAUUCUAAUCCGAUUUUAUCUCAAGGGUUUUAAUCUACCCAACAGAAUGCAAUCUGGUGGAAAUUAAUAAAACAGUGCGUCAGUCUUAUUAUCCCUACGUAACGUUUAACUGUUUGCAAGGCUAGCAAAGCACUGAUUCUAGAUAAUGCUGCAAAGGUCUGCCAAACAAGUACUGAAAAAGGAUAAAUUCACUCUAAACACGGCUAUCAUUUCAUUGUCCUUAAUUGUCUUUUUUUUCUGUCACUUUUCAAUCUUUUGCAAUAAGAAGUAUGACUAAAAUAAUUACAAUUCACAUUUGUGAUGUUCUGAUUUCUUAUAGAGACACUUGAAUCACCAUAAUUAUGUACAUGUCCAUUGCUGUAACGAAAAUAUACCCCAACAUGUAGGAUUUAAGCUAAACAAAUGCUACAGGACCUUAGCGUGGCCGGACUCGACGUAAAGGAGAGAGAUACAGAGUCAGGAGCAAUCCGAGGUCAAGGGCACAAAGAGACAGCGUAAACUUGAACUAGCCAGGGUCUGGUACACAGAAAAACAGCAAGCCGGCAAACAGAACAGAUAAGGAUAAAGAGAUAACGUAGUCAGAAACAAAGCCAAGGUCAAGUACGAAGGAACACAACUGAACACAACAAGCGCUAAAGGGAACUGAAACAGAAACCUCGAUAGGGCAAGGAACUAAGGGGAAAAGGUGAGUAUAUAUACCUAAACAUCUAAUUUGAUUGGUCCCUGUCACAUCCACGCCCCCAAAAGGUAAGUGUAUGGGGAGUGUGGCAUGACAGGGAUCAAUGGGAUGCCUUUUCCAAUUUAGGCUCCCACUGUCCCUUUAAGAGCGCGCCCGAGACCCGCGGCGCGCUCUUAGAGUUAGGCGGGACACGUGUCCGCUUCUCGCGGUCACUGCCCGCCUUCCUGUUACAGCCGUCGGAUGAGCCGCACGCGGCUCGAACAGAGGACCCCGGCCAGCCCCUGGAAAGGGUAAGUACCGCUACAAUUGCAUAGCUUAUACAUUUACCAAACAUUAUCCAAGUGAGGAUACAUUGAGAUUUUUCUCGUUUUAAAGUGUGUUAGAUACUUUUACGUAUGAGCAGUUAUAUAGUAAGGAAUACACAUUAUAUACUUACAACUCUUAAUUAGUUAUAACUCAUAUGCUUAUAAAUGCAAUAAUUUGCAAGUCUCUAUGCAGGUGUAUAUUCACCCCUUUUUCCCCAUAAAGGCAAAGUUUGUAUCCAUGCGUUGAGUCCCCACCUUCCCAACAUCUGUAAAAACUGAAUAGGGUUGUUUGUAAGAUCACAGCAGCUACAGUAUGACUGAUAUUCGCUUAGGCAGCAACUCUGCUUAAUAGAACUGGUCAGUAGACAAGCUACCGGGGCUGUGUGUCCAGUAAAACCCUGCUGUGCAGUUGCUUGUGGGGUAAAAGCAAAUCUCACAGACCUCAAUUAAAUGAUCUUCUUCCUAGUUUAGGAAAAAGGUCUCUGCAGCUGCUGCUAACUAUUUGCCAGUCAAACUAUAAUUAAAUAGAUAGUUUGCUUCUACGUUCAACCAUUAUUAUUAUUUAUAAAGCGCCAACAAAUUCCGCAACGCCCAUGGAAACAUAAAUUUAAUUCUCAAGAGAAUUUGGGAGGGGGGGAAUCUGGUGAUGAGCAAUUGACAGUAAUGGUAACGCUACUGUUUGAGAAUGAUGGCAUUAAGCUGCAGGGUAGUGGACCAGAGAUGCCCUACUGCAUAUAUAGUUAGACUGUACUCUUUAUGUUAUGCUAAGUUUAACUGUUUGGGCAUGGCAGUCAAAAUACUUUAAAGCUUUGUGUUGACUAACAUUAUCAUCUCUCUACAUGCUUAUUUAAUAUCACUUUUUUUUAAAUCAUCAAAAACUGUUCUUUUUACCUUGCGUUUAUUUUGUUCCUGUUGUUGGCUCUUUAUCGCUCCCACCUCCUUGGCACUUUUCCAGUCUUGACCUUUGCUUAGAACCAAAGAUCGUGAGCGGAGAUUCCCCGUCUUAAAGUCAAUCUGCGAGAUACAGACUACAACAAUCAUCUACCAGGAUUUAUCAUAAAGCCCGUGACUCCAAUUAUACUUAAUCUCUUUAUACCAAAGAAUUGCUUCGCUACAUUAAACAGUAUCGCCGAUUGCUUUCAUCUUGUGAAUGUGCAUUAUAUGUCGUUAUUAGUGUAGAACUAAUAACUAUACACAGUAUUGCAUUACAAAACUGCAUGCUCUGCAUUUUUUUCCGCCUUUGAUUUUUUUUUUAAAACAUGACCCAAAGCUAUAUUAAAUUUAAUAAUUUAAUGCAUUAGCAAAGUAUAUCAUAAUGUAUCAGAACUCCAAGUACCUGGAAUAAGAAAAGUGAAAAAAAUGUUCCUUGCUAAAAAACACCUAAUAUGAAAGUAAUGAUUUCCCUAAAGGUGUUAAAGCAAACACCCCUCUUCCUAAGUCUCUUACAGCACCACAUAUAAACUGUUCGCCAAAGAACGGUUAGGUUUAACGCAAUGCCUCUAUAUGUUCCAGUCUCUCUCUUUUUAAUUUCCAUCAACACGACUAACCCCCUUGAUGUGCAAAAUCACUAAAAAAUUUUGGCAAACAAAGCAGGUAGACUGAACUACACUGAACUAACUGCUCACCGGUGCAAAGAGGUGUAAGCAUUGCCCAACUUCCACCACAGCUUCUACAUAUUCUGCAUAGACAUUUAUCACAUCCCCGUAGGUUCUGGAUUCAAUGAGAACACACCCUUAUGUCCAGAUUUCUAGUCGCCCUCCCAUCACUCCACCAAUCCACACUAGGUAACCUCCAUACUAAAGGUUUGGAAGUCGAUGGCCAGCUGGGACAUCUUUGGCUUCCGAGCUUACACUCCCUAUAUCACAGUGGAGGACUUGAUUUCGUGUUAGACCAAGAAACACUGAGAGCGAAGCACCUAUUUCCAAAAGCGUGGUCUCGUAGCCAAGAAUCCAACACAAUUCCUGGUACAUUUUCACUACCAAACACUAGACUUGUGUAAAACAAGAGAAUAUGGUUCAGCAAAACCAUUCUAAAAAAAAAAAAAAAAAAAAAAAUUCGUCAGAGAUAUCCAACAUUCGUUCAGUUGAUAGUUCAGCUCAUUUGAGUGGCUGUCCCCUGACCAUCAAUCCCUUUUUCCCAUCAGUUAACUCUUUUUUUUUUUUUGGUGCUGCAGUCAGAACUCCAUACCAAACCAAAUGAUCAUGUUUGGCCAUGGUUUGAUCAGUUAUACAUCUGUAUGAUGCUUUGGAGAUACAGAAUUCAGCUGUUCGGCCUAAAUUGUGAUAAAUUUGUAAUUCGUACAAAACUAAAUGUACAAGUCUACCAAAGACUGAUAUCUUUUUAGUUAGAUGACCAUUUUGUGCCUUAAAACCUUAUAGCCAGGGGGGCGUGGCUGAUCGAGCUGCAGGCAAGACGUGUUUGAAAGGAGCUCCGCUAAAGAAACCAUAAAAAAGUUGUCUAAUCACCCUUAAAAUCGCUCCUGCAGAAACCCCCACACAGACGACAUAAUGGGGCAUAAAAAUAAGAAACCCCAAAUGCAGGAGACUCGUCAAAUCCUCGACAUCAGGCUCUCAUUUGAAAGGCCUACCCCUCGGGCCGCUCCUAAAUUGGCGCCGGCAGAGCUGAGCGAUAGUGAAGCCUCUGAGGGAACACAAGAGACAGAGCAACAUACCGAGACUGGCUUUGCGAGCAGCAACAAAAGCGAGUCCGGAUCCGACGAGGACUCCUCACCGGCUACCAAACGGGACAUAAAGAACCUGUUGCUGGAAAUGAGACAAGUGUGGAAGGCGAACCUACGGGCAACACAAGCCGAGCUGGGAACCCUGCGCACACGGAUUGUGGACGGGGAAGCCAGAGAAGGAGCCAGGGACCAAAAUCUACAAACCGCACAGAAAGAGAUCCAGGAACUUACCCACCAAGUCCAGACACUUGCCAGAAGUGUGACGGUGAUGGAGUCCAGACAUAGAAGGAUGAACAUACGCCUUCGAGGAGUGCCAGAAAGAAUCUCAGGAGAAGACCUCCUGCCCUUCCUACACUGCUUACUGCACCACAUGGGAGCCACGAGGGGUGCUGGCACGGAACUAGUGACCGCAGCAUUCCGGAUCCGAAAGGCGGCAGCUGCUCCAGAGGAGGCACCAAGAGACAUUAUUGCUGUCACUAGGGACAUUGCAGCUAGGUCCACCAUAAUGUCCUGUUCCAGAGAGAUUAAAAGUAUCAGAUUCGAGGGCUCAACAAUAGCUAUAUACGGGGAUCUCCCGUUUGCCGCACCAAUGUCAAAGAGGCACCUCACACCAGUGGCAAAACAACUGAGGGAGGCAGAUAUCAAAUAUAGGUGGGGAGCAGAGGGAUACUUAGUGGCCCUGAGGGAAGGGUAAAUUUUUACACUAAGCCCCCAGGGAGACCAAGCGGCAUUUCUCAGAAGCCUGCAGGUAAUCGGGAGGGACCCAGAGCGAGCCCAUACAGCCAAAACCGACGCACACUGCCAAACACCCACACACUGCAUACAUAAGGCCAUCACACAGCCGUUACAAGUCCCCCACUAUGACCACGCAAGCCUCGGGGAGACUGCCCGCAUGACAUUGCAAUGCUAGCCCAGACAGGAGAAUUUAAGACCCCCUUAUGACCAGAGGAUAAGCACAUGAUAGACAGCCUAAUAACAAGGAAUGCUCAGAGGUUAUGUAUAUAGUUACCAAUUUACCACAGCUGCACGAGUGGGCAUUAGCACCUAGUUAACAUAUGAAAGAAAGGGCGACCCCAAGUCCAGGGCAGCCUACACGCACACUGGCCCACGGGAGGGCCCCCACAAGAAGCAGCCCCAAAUGCUGUACAAUAAAGAUGUAAACCUACACACAUAGCCUGGAAUAAGAAAUGUUUGAACUGAUGUCUUUCACAUGAUAUUUCUCUCAUAAAUUGUUGAAGUCUGUUUUGUGUGAGAAAAAAAAAUAAAAUACAAAUUAAAAAAACAAAACAAAAAAAAAAACAUAUAGCCAGCCAUCAACAUAGACACAUUUUUUUCAUAAUAUUUUCUAUGGAUGGUAUUUGCAAUUUGGACAAAACAACUCAAAGCCAGACUUACCUACCUGUCUAUGUGAUUAUGGGGAGGUAAAAAAAAAGGGAUGUAUUCCCAUUUCACGCAUUAAGCUAACUGGUCAUGAAGCCUUAUCAAGUCAAUCAUGGCUCUCAUCACAGCUACUGAAAAGUAAACCUAAUCCUGGAGCUGGGAAUACAAAUUGUCAUCACCAGGACAGGCUUUAACUUUAAUGAAUACAUUAAAAUAAAGAUGGGAUGUUAUCUCUCCUGCACGCUACAAGCAUCAAGGUCAAGAUUGCACUCAAAUUAUCACGCCAAGAUCAAAACAUCACCAAAUCAGACAUCCUUCCAGACUAUGUGAUAGCCCAGUUAAACAAUUAUUUACUGUUAUGUUUUAGUACAACAUUUGGAAACUCAUUAUUAAAAAAAAAAAAAUUUAAAAUCAGGAAAACAAGAGUAUCAAAACAGAGUGAAGAGAAAAGAACAAAUAAUGGUGCGCCUAAGACAAGUAGAAUGAAUAUAUAAAAAUAUAUAUCAGAGAUUUAUUUGUUCUUUUCUCUCCAUUGUAUUCCAAGGGGCUUAGAGGGGAUUCCCCUUUUCCGUAGGUGUGCUGCCUUGCUGUCAUAUUCUCUGUUUUCCUAUCAGCGCUGAACCUCCUUCCUGAUCUCGAUUACAUAUCAAAACAGAGUGAUUGAAUUCCAGAUUCAACUCAAUGUUGUACAAAACAUGUACAAAGAAACUAGUCCUGCGCUCAAACUCUCAUUACUCCUGGGCGGCAGCAAUGACCAUAGUACACUCCUUUCUGUCUCAUUAGAGAUAUUUUUGCCAGAAGCUCAAGGAAGCAAGGUGAAUGGUUAGAGUUAGGACCCACCUAAGAGGUCUGCCUUGACGUGGCAGGUGGGCUUAACCUCUCAUGGCCAUUGGAGGUAACUAAAAACCUCCAUUUGUUUAAAAAUACAUAGGGAUGUGGGAAGAGCGCAGGUAACUUUUUUCCUUUGGUUGUACAAAACAUAUUUGGAAUUUCCAUAAUAUAAAAUAUUACUUCUUGUGUUUAACACUCCUUGGGGUGUCUGUUCAUACUUCCUUUAAUCUUCUCCAGAGGAAGCGGAGACAAAGCUGGGGAGUUGGUGAAAAUAAUUAAGAACAGAGUGAGUGAGGUAAGUCCUGCCAAUCAAACGCACACGUUUUCUUCACAAUUAAAUAUUAUGAGAGAGAGAAAUAAAAGGCAUAGUUUAUCAAUCCCUGCUGUAUCCACAAACUGUACAUAAUGUAAAUAAAUUAAAUCGUAUGGCUUAUUGAGAGCCUUCCUUUCUGUACAAAUUAAGGAUUUGUUCUACCCCUGGCACGGUGCAUAAAGAAAUACUAUUGAGUGAUAUUAGGUCCAGGUACGCAGAAGUCAUCACUCCUUCCUCCGAAGGUAAAUGAUUCACCCCACCUUCAACUACUGUAAUUUUCAGAUAAUCCCAGUUUAUUGAAUAGACAUCAUCUCCAUGUUCCCUUUAGCUACCCAUGACUUGAUACACAAGUAGAAACACAAACCCCUCUGCUCCUUUGCAUUAGACAAAAACGAAAUGCAUAGUCCCAUACCCUUUUGGACUCAUUUGGGUUAUUUAAUAACAGAUUAUAGAUUGAUACCCUGCAACCUCCUAUGUGCAUACCAUUUCCUAUAUAUACUGACGGAUAAUGAGCCUCUGCAGGACACUCAGAUUGGUGGAAAUAAUUUAAUGUUCCCUUGUUGAAGGUUUUAUAUAUAUAUAUAUAUAUAUAUAAUAUAAUAAAGAACAUGACAUAGGUAUGUCUAAUGAAUAUGACAUAUAAUAAUUAUGUAGUACCUCCAUUCAGUGCAGUAAUCAGCCGUUACAGAAGACCUGAGGAUUCUAAAAUUUGACCUUAAGAAUACUAAAGGAUUAUUGGAUUCACUCAAGGAAAUGAUGUAUUUUGAAUUCCCACUACCAAAUGAAACAGAAACAAUUAAAUAUUAAUUGAUCGUUAUUUUUGUGAUUACAAUAAUGUUGUUUUGCCAGAGAGAUCUGGAAGAAAUUAAGAUCUGUGAGGCUCUCUGAAAAAAGGCAAUAUUUUAAAAAAUUAUUAUAUUUUAAUUGGAUACAUUUUAUAUAUACCCGAGCACAUGUCUGGGCAACGUUAUUUGAACUAUAUUUAACAGACAUGAAUAUGCAUGAAACCUGGUGUAUGGUUUGUCAAUGUUUACGAAGCAGAAACUAAAUAGAAAUUGGAAUCUAAAGCAGAUGAAUAACUGAAAACGUAUGGUAGCCAGUGCAAGAUGUUACAUUAAGCCACAUGCUCUUCUGUCGUGGAUACCAGUUAGUGGGAAAUUCACCACCUUUCACUUUACAUAUAAAUCCCUGCAAGCAUCGGUGGAUACCCAGACAGUGGUGUGCUUCCCCUCUCCCAUCAUGUCAGCAUACCCUGAGCAGGAAUUUUCGGUUCUAGUGUGUACAUCUUAAGGGGGCUGCUAAUAAUUUGGCUUCUCUUAUAAUCGGAAGAUUUGUCUGCAUUAUGUUUUUUUUUUAAAUGUUGUAGCUACACCUGGGAUAUGUAUACCAUUUUACAAGGAGUUAACACAUAUACAGGUGUGCUCAAAAGUUUGCAGACCCUUGGAGAAUUGGUAAUAUAUGCACCAUUUAAAAAAAAAAAAAAACUGAGCAGGCAAAACACAUUUCUUUUAUUUCUUAUUCAACAAUAUAUAUUGGUAAUAUACAUAUUGGCAAAAUGCAUCCAGGUUAUGCAAAGUCUUUGUUUGUCUUGCAUGAACCACACGUUUGAGAUCUCCCUAGAGUGGCUCGAUGAUAUUAAGGUCAGGAGACUGUGAUGGCCACUCCAGAACCUUCACCUUUUUUCUGCUGUAACCACUGGAGGGUCAACUUGGUCUUGUGCUUAGGGUCAUUGUCAGGCAGGAAAGUCCAAAAGCGUCCCAUGUGCAGCCUUCGUGCAGAAGAAUGGUAAUUAUCUGCCAGUAUUUUCUGAUAACAUGCUGCAUUCAUCUUUACAUAAAUUUCAAGAUUCCCAGUGCCUUUUAGAGCUCACAUUCCCCCCUUUCCCCUCCCCAAACCAUCAGGGAACCACCAACACGUUUCACAGUGGGGAUGGAAUUCUUUUCUCUAUAGACCUUGUUGACCCCUCUCCAAACAUAUCGCUUACGGUUGUGACCAUAAAGCUCUAUAUUGGCCUUGUCACUCCAAAUUACAGUGUGCCAGAAGCUGUGAGACAUGUCAAGGCAUUGUGGGGCAUAUUGUAAAUGGGCUUUUUUAUGACAUUGGUGCAGUAAGGGCUUCUUUUUGGCAACCCGACCAUGCAGCUCAUUUUUGUUCAAGUAUCGUCGUAUUGUGCUCCUUGAAACAACCACACCGUCUUUUUCCAGAGCAGCCUGUAUGUGUCCUGAGGUUACGUGUGGGUUUUUCUUUGUAUCCCGAACAAUUCUUCUAGCAGUUGUGGCUGAAAUAUUUUUAGGUCUACCUGACCUUGGCUUGGUAUCAAGAGAUCCCCGAAUUUUCCACUUAAUAAAUGAUUGAAAAGUACUGACUGGCAUUUACAAGGCUUUGGAUAUCUUUUUAUAUCCUUUUCCAUCUUCACAAAGUUCCAUUACCUUGUUACGCAGGUCUUUUGACAGUUAUUUUCCGCUCCCCAUGGCUCAGUAUCUAGCCUGCUCAGUGUAUCCACGUGAGAGCUAACAAACUCAUUGACUAUUAAGGCACUAAUUUAAAAAGCCACAGGUGUGGGAAAUUAAUCUUUAAUUGCCAUUUUACCAUGUGUGUGUCACCUUGUGUGUCUGUAACAAACCCAAACAUUCAAGGGUAUGUAAACUUUUCAUCAGGGCCAUUUGGGUGAUGUCUGUUAUCCUUAUGAUUAAAAAAAAAAUUAUAAUCAGUCACAACUUUCCUCAAACACAGGACAGAACCUACAAUCGCUUGCAGAAUGCAUCAGGUUCCUUCUUCACACAAUUAUUUGCUACUCCAGUUUAUUGUCAAGGCCCAGAGGAGGCGGGCUGAAAGCUAGCCGGAUAGGAGGCAUGUGUGGGUGUGGUGGGUGUAGGUGUCAUAAGUGGGUGUGUCAAUUAGAGUAAGGGAUGGGUGUGGUCCUUUAUAUACCAGUCAUUUUGUCUCCCUUACCUCAGCCAUCUUAGAUUUAACGGCGUGGUAACAUCUCUGCAUCCUCCUGUGCUUACCACUGCUUGUCAAACGGCCAAGGGUAUGGAUAUUGAUGCAAUCCUCGCUGCCCUCCGGGCUGAGGCCCUUCAAGAUGGUGGACGGCACCUGCAGUCACAGCUAGUACGCCUGCAGGGUGCUCCUAGUGUGGCUGCUCCCUCUAAUGGCAGCCCUGGGAACCAGGGUGCUGAUCUUGUGGCUGCUCCCUCUAAUGGCGGCCAUGGGAACCAGCGCCGUCGCGCACGACCCCCUGCCCGGUAUAGCCCCUCACGGGAGGGUCGGGUGAGGGAGAGGAGUAUUAGCCCUGUUGCCGGCCCGCGCGUCAGUUCCUCCGCGGCCGCGGGUGGCACCUCCUCUCGCGUUUCAACACGCCGGAUGGACGCAUCGCGGCUACCACCCCCCCCCCCGGUCUCGCGGGCUCGGCGGAGGUCGGCCGCGAGAACGCAGCACCUCACCGCACAGCGGGCACUAACCACCCGGUCGGCCUUGGCGGGAUCAACGGCAGUGCAAGGGCGGGUGGCCCUCUCUCCAGGUCGGGUGAGUAGGCCGCUGGUCGGCAGGGCUGUCUCCAGGGGGGUGGGGGGUUCUGGGGCACGGCGCAGGGAGUAUGCUUCCCCUAACUUACCUCUCAGCCCUCCCCCUGCUCUCCCUCCCCACUCUGUCUCCCCUGGAGCUGCUCCUGUCCCUGCGCCUGCUCCACUGUCUGCUGGAUCUGUCCCUGUGGCAGCUGUGUUGCACUCUGCCCCUCCACUUCUCCCUUCCUCCUCAGCUGCCCCCAUCAUGGCUGGGGCCCUUACAGGGUCUCCUGGGCCUGCCCCUCUCAAUUUCCCUGCCUUGCCCGCUGGCCCACUCAUGGCUGGUGCCCAGCUUGCCCCCCCUGGCCCACUUCAUACCACUUUGCCCCCCAUUCAUCCUGCCACUCUUACAGAAGGGGCCCAUUGUUCCCCCACAGGGCCCUCCUCUACCGGUUUCCUUUCUACUGGGGUGGGUGGGCCGGGGUCCAUCUCACCUGUGUUGUCUUCGCAGAUUACUCCUGGUAGGCUCUCGGUUCGUUUUGCUGACGUUGCGACUGGUGCAGAUCCUCCUGCAGUCGCUGUUCCAGCUGGGCCACCACAGUCUAGCGGCCAGGGCGUGGCUCCACAGAUGGCUUCACAUUCGGUUCCUGCCAGUGAGUAUAUUAGUUUACAAGGUUUGGGGUCGGGGUGUGUUAACGCAGUUAUCCCAGAAUGGGAUUCGUUGCUGCAAACUAUGCGACAGGUUUUACAUUCCUUGGAAAAGGGGCCCCCCCCUGGGGCUCCCCUCACCUCGACUUUAGAUAACCAACUUAGAACGGGUUGGGCGACUAGCGGAGGGUCAGGUGUCCUGCCUUCUACUUCGGCUGUCUCAGGGGGGCCUACUGCCCUCCUAGAAUCUUUGCCUGCCGCAGGUGAGCUCGGAAGCACCGUGGGGUCAACAGUGACCCCCACUGCGGUUCAGGACUUGGGGGUCGCACCCGCUGCGCACGGGGCGGCUUACAUGUGUUGGUCAGGCCCCCUGGGCCUCCAUUUGACAGCUGAAUUGCGGGCCAAGAUAGAGAAAGGGGAAUUUGUUGAAAUUUUUUCUCUUCUCCCUAUGGAGGACUUGCCUCGGGUUGAUCCUGCAGCAAAGGAGUCUGAAAAGGAGAAAGAAAAGUUUCGGUAUCGGAAGAUACUUUUGGGAAUUGGAUCAGGGCCUUUUCUAUCCUGGCUAGCGUUAUAGGGGAAAAGACUCCCAACAAAUGCUCUUCUCUAUUUUGCUACCAGGAUAUGAUCUGGAACGCGUGUCGGGUUUAUGGAGGGUUAGGCUGGUGGCGGUAUGAUGAACAGUUCCGCCAGCGCUUAGCGGUGCGCCCUUCCCUGAGUUGGGAUCAAAUGGAUAUCGGCUUGUGGUUGGCCAUCAUGACCCAUCCCGCUUCACAUCAGGGGGGCCUGUCGUCCUUUCUUGGGGGGGCCGGCGCAGGGUCCUCACCCUCCGCGUCGGCCACUCAGCGUAGAACAGGUUGCUGUUGACAAUUUAACGACGGCCAGUGUAAAUUUGGAGCAAAUUGUCGCUUCAAGCACGAAUGCUCCGGUUGCGGCGGGUCCCACCCCGCUUCUAAGUGUUUUAAACGGGGUAAGUUUGGCGAAAAAGGGGAUGCCAUGGGCGCUAAGAGCGAAGACGCCGGUGGACGUCGUCGCGAUGCGUCCGUGGCUAAAAUGUUAUAGGAACAAAAAGGCGGCUGCCUUGCUCCUGGAAGGGUUUACUCAUGGUUUUUGGAUUCCCCAUCAGGCUCGUUCGCCCUCAGGGUCGUGUCGGAACCUGCGUUCCGUUGCUGAACACCCGGGGGUGGUAAAAGACAAGCUGGCUAAGGAAGUGGCAUUGGGCCGCAUGGCUGGCCCUUUUUGUGAACCCCCCCUUCCUGACCUUCGGGUAUCGCCACUAGGCGUCGUUCCCAAGAGAGAGCACGGAAAUUUUCGGCUAAUUCAUCAUCUCUCGCACCCCCAAGGGGGUUCCGUGAAUGAUGACAUUGCGGCGGAGCUAUGCCGGGUUUCAUACGCCUCGUUUGAUACUGCGGUUGGUAUGGUUAGGGCCGCGGGCCCCGGUGCACUGAUGGCAAAAACCGACAUUGAGUCGGCUUUUCGCCUCCUGCCGGUUCACCCGGAGUGUCAUCAUCUGCUCGGCUGUUCCUUUGAAGGGCAAUUUUACGUGGAUAUGUGCCUCCCGAUGGGUUGUGCAAUAUCCUGCUUUUAUUUUGAAUGUUUUAGCUCCUUCAUGGAAUGGGUAGUGAGAGCUGAGUCUGGUUAUGACUCAGUGCUUCACUAUUUGGAUGAUUUUCUUUGUGUGGGUCCCGCGAACUCCCCGAUAUGCGCGCACAUUUUGCAAUCGGUAGCCGACGUGGCCUGUGGGUUCGGCGUGCCUCUGGCGCCCGACAAAACGGUGGGCCCUUCCCCGUGCUUGUGUUUUCUUGGAAUUGAGAUCGAUUCGGUUAUUGGGGAAUGUCGGCUCCCGCCGGAUAAAUUGGAGGAUCUGCGGGGGGCUGUGCGGGAGGCGAGCUCCCUCCGGAAGAUUACUUUACAACGGCUUCAAUCCCUCCUUGGCAAGUUGAAUUUUGCCUGUCGGAUUAUGCCUAUGGGACGAGUGUUUAACCGGCGCCUAGCGGCCGCCACGGCAGGAAUUGUAAAAUCAUUCCAUUUUAUCCGCUUAACCAAAGUGCUCAAGGAGGACUUGGCAGUAUGGAUGGUUUUCUUAGAUGGGUACAAUGGCAGGUCCUAUUGGCAACAACCAGAGGUGUUGAAUUCUGUGCUACACCUGUUUACUGAUGCGGCAGGAGCAUCAGGAUUUGGGGCUAUCUUAGGGACGCAAUGGUGCGCGGAACCUUGGCCUGAGGCUUGGGUUGCUGCUGGCCUUACCAAAAAUAUGGCCCUCCUUGAGCUCUUCCCCAUCGUGGUGGCAGUUCAUUUGUGGGGAAUGGAGUUCAGGGACCGGCGCGUCGUCUUCCAUUGCGAUAACUUGGGGGUGGUGCAGGCCAUUAAUAAUCUAACGGCCUCCUCCCCUCCGGUGGUCAGGCUCUUGCGGCGUCUGGUCUUACGAUGCUUGUCAUUGAACGUUUCAUGCCGCGCUGUGCACAUUCCAGGUGUUGUGAAUACCACAGCUGACGCUCUCUCUCGUUUCCAAUGGCAGGUAUUUCGAUCGGCUGCUCCGGAAGCGGAUCUGGAAGGUCUCUCCUGUCCCGCGGAACUCUGGUCCCUUGGCCUGAACGAAUAAGGGAGUGGAUACGGUCGUCGGUGUCAGAGGCAACAUGGGUCCGGUAUGGUAAGGCGUGGGGGGAUUGGGUCGCACUGGAACAGGAUUGCGGUGGGUUCGGCUCCUCUGACGAGAGGGUCCAGGGUCUGUUACGGUUGCUCUGGUUCUGGGAGGCUAGCGGGUGUUCCCCAGCUACGGUUUCAGGGAAGCUAUCAGGCCUUAGUUUCUGGUUCAACUUAACCCAGGUACCCGAUGUGACAAAACACUGCAUGGUGAGGCUUGCGAUGCGCGGUUGGCGGAAAGGCCCGAUGGUGCGGGAUACUCGGAGGCCGGUUUCGGGCGCGCUACUGUUAGGGAUCGCCUCGGUUCUCCCCCAGGUCUGUUUUUCGGCUCCGGAGGCUAGAUUGUUUUUGGUGGCGUUUACUUUCGCCUUUUUUGGGGCUCUUCGGGUUGGAGAACUGGUGAGCCCUAGCAGGGGGACCCCUGGGGGUCUCCACAGGGCCCGGCCGUAGGAUCUGGCUGAUUGGGCAUUCGUACAUCUAUUGGGCCCACCUGCGGGCUGGGGUACGCCCGGGUGGGACACGCCUUGGAAUUCCUCGGGAGCUGGCGGAGGUCCGAUGGUUUGGUUUCCGGGGCAUGAGAUGGGGCCAGCUCUUGCCGGAGGUUGUACAGCUGGCCACUUUCCUAGGGGCGCCUGAUGUAUUGGUGGUUCAUUUGGGUGGCAAUGAUCUGGGGGUGCUGCCUGCAUGGGGUUUGGGUGAAAUGAUUAGAACUCGCGCGCUUGCGAGUUUUGUUCCCGCAGCUUUGUUUAGUUUGGUCUGGGAUAGUGUCCAGGAACUAUUGGUGGCGCGCGCGCGAUCAGGGGGCUAUUGAGCGAUGCAGGGUGAAAAUUAAUAAAAGAGUGUCAAAAUUUGUGCUCGGCGUUGGUGGCAUUUCGGUGCGCCACCGAAUAUUUGAACGUGACGCGGCGAUAUAUUUUCGCCCGGACGGGGUCCACCUGACCGAUGUGGGGUUGGAUUUCUUCAACCUAGCUCUGCAGGAUGCGCUGGAACAGGCCAUGGCAUUGGUGGGGGGUCGCGCCUGCUGAUUUAGGCUUAAAUGCAGCUGGCGCUAGUGGCGGGUAUGGUCCUUGCCGAACCAGUGGAAAAAGGAAUGCAUUGGACGAAGGAAUGCUGGGUCUGGUCCCUCCCCUAACCUCGGGCAAUGGUUUGGUAUUUGGGCGUGCCCUCCGUGCCAGGAAAAGCGGCCAGGGGUUGGCAUGGGGAAUUGGAGGGCCAAGGUGAAGGCCAAUUAGCUUGGACGAGGGGGGAGGGCAGGUGCCCGGGAAAGAGGUACUCAAAAGGUUAUUAUGGUUCGGUUGGCAAGGACGGGUUUUGAGUUAAAUAUAUACGCUCAUAUUAAAUAUAAUUUGAAUUGGUUUUACUUAUUAUAUAUAUAAAUAAAGCUGUGGCCUGUUUUAUACCACAUUUAUGUCUCUGUUUUAAUUGGGAAUGGGGAAAGGCGGGGGCGGGGUGGGUGGAGCGGUUUGGUGAUCCUAAGGGGCACCACACGUUAACCACUACCUGCACACAAGUUAACUAAAAUCACCCAUAAAAAAUGGGUUGGACUGUUACCUGAUCUAUUGAAUAGUAUGUACAAGAAAGACACAACAAAACUUUCAUUCCUUUAUCUUUUCUGCAUUGUGUUGAGGGCAGUCCGGAAGCAUACUAAGCUACUCUGCUUUUAAUAAAAAUAUAGGUGAAAAAAAAGAAAACGGUUUAAAAUCAGCAAAGUAUGUUUUCUAUGGCCGCUCUCAACACCUGCAAAUCCCUAUAAUCUGUACAGUAUCCUUUCUGUUAUAAUAAAGUAAUAAAAGGUGUGAGACGAAGGCGUCUUUAGAAAUGACAUAUAGAAGAUGUCAGGAGGUGCGGAACAAUAAGUAUUUAAACCAUCUUUGGUAGAAUAUUUUUUUUGUCCACUGUGUUCAAUGGGUUUGCCUGAGCUGUUGUGAAUUUUACUAUUACAGUGUUAAUCCAGG